CGAGCGGCGACUGCAGCUGCACGGCGUCCAGCAGGGAGCCGAGGAACGCCCACUCCCCCAUGGCGCUGGGGACAGACGCGGGGCGGACAGUCAGGGGCUGGGAAGGAUCGGGUCCCCCAGUCCUCCGAGCCCGUCGUGGUGGGGUCACUUAGACCUCCUCUAACUUUGAGGCAGCGGAUGGAGAAACAGAUGCAGGCGGAAGAAAUCGGUGCAAGGACAUCUCUCUAAAAAGUACCUGGGAAACUGUCGCAUGACUGACCUCGAAUAUCAUUGGCCGGGAUGACCUUCCGUGACGAAGCUCGGGAAAGGUAAGCUCUAUUCUAAGUGGCCUGGCAUGGAAGAAGGGAGGAUGUCACCCUCACUGUCACAAAUCUGCUUCUGGCCUCCACGCUGAGAUGGGGAGUCAGAGAGACUCGGUUUCCCCCAAGCCUGCCCCCAGCAACAGCCUCUGCACAGCUUCUCGCUGAGGGAAAGGGACAUCUCUUCAGUCUUGCUUGUCAUCUUGUCCCCACGUCCUUCCACCGCUGCACCUCUGGGCCUUCGUUCACGUGCGUCUGCCAGGUCCUGUUCCCCCUUUCUCAUCCUCGGGCAGAGACGUCACUACUGCCAACUGGAGGCCCCCACCUGGUCUGUCUUCCCCGGCUCACCCAUUUCUAGGCUGCCCAUGUUGCACCUUUGCUCAGGAAGGAUGAUACCUGGGCCUGAGGGUGGCUGGGCCCUGCAGGCAGCCUCAUCUGGGAGUCCCUCUUCCUUUCCUGAAAGCUCAGAUGAGAGAAACUGCUUCGGGAUUGAGAUGGGGAAGGGGUGGGCUUGAGUUAUUAAGAGGCAUCUUUCAUGUCCCUUUCCCCAUCCUUGCAGCUCUGAACGGCCCCUGUUUGUAAGUGCCAAGAUGUAUAAGCGACCAUAAACACUGCCUGUGGCCUUGUGACCUUCUCUUCAUCACCCUGGGGGGGAUGUGGGAUCAGGUUAACUCACGAUCAAUUGGUGGGCAGAGCAAAGUAACUCCCUCCCUGAAAGCAAUACUCCUGGGUCCAAAGGACUGCCCUUCCUGCUCCCUGGAAAGGCACAGCAGAUCACUAGAGGCAGAAGGCAAAGCUGUCUCCGGGCUGGGCUUCCUUUCCUCCAGCUGUAAGAUCUCUUUGCACUCACUGGGAUGUGCUGGGGCCACCUUGAGGCCAGUGAAGAUUCUGUCUUACUUGAAAGAAAGAAAUCGGACACCAGAAUGUGCUGAGGCAGAAUGUAAGGGGGAGGGUAAAAUGAUACAACUGCUUUGAAAAAUUUUGGCAGUUUCGUAUAUAAAGGUAAACAUAUGCUAAACAAAUGACCAACAAUUCCACUUCUAGGUGGAAGUUUCAUCUUCUCAGAGAAAUGAAAAAAAUAAUGUCUAUAAAAAAGAUUUGCACUCUGAUGUUCAUAACAGCCUGAUUUAUAAUAGGCCCAAGCUGGAAGCAACCCAGAUGUCUAUCAGCAAGUGAAUGCAUAAACAAGUCCGUACAAUGGAAUAACAUUCAGCAAUUUAAAAAGAAGGAACAACUGAUACAUGCAACAAUACGGAUAAAUUUCAAAAACAUUAUGCCAAAUGAAAGAAGCCACACCCCGAAGCAUAUAUACUCUUAUGGAAUAUGGAAUUCUGGAAUAGAUAAAACCAACAGCUGGAACCAACCUGUAAUGGUAGAAAUCAGAUCAGUGUUUGGGGUCAGGGCUGAGGAGACACCUAAAAGCUUCAUGGGGUGAUGGAAAUGUUUUAGAUCUCGAUUGUGAUGGUGGUUGGGCAAGAGUAUACAGUUGCCAAAAGUCAUCAGUCUAUAUACUUAGAAUGAGUGCAUAAAUAAAAAAUAAAGUUGAU